UACAGAGGUCCCAAGCGUUGUUCGGAUUUACUGGGCGUAAAGGGUACGUAGGCGGUGGGGUAAGUUUGAGGUGAAAGCUCCGGGCUCAACCCGGAAAAUGCCUUGAAAACUAUCCGGCUAGAGGGUUGGAGGGGAGACUGGAAUUCUCGGUGUAGCAGUGAAAUGCGUAGAUCUCGAGAGGAACACCAGUGGCGAAGGCGGGUCUCUGGACAACACCUGACGCUGAGGCACGAAAGCCAGGGGAGCAAACGGG
rnacentral:rRNA from 1 species